rnacentral:rRNA from 1 species
UGGGGAAUAUUGGGCAAUGGGGGCAACCCUGAUCCAGCCAUGCCGCGUGAGUGAUGAAGGCCUUCGGGUUGUAAAGCUCUUUUGGCGGGGACGAUGAUGACGGUACCCGCAGAAUAAGCCCCGGCUAACUUCGUGCCGGCAGCCGCGGUAAGACGAAGGGGGCUAGCGUUGUUCGGAAUUACUGGGCGUAAAGCGAGUGUAGGCGGUUGUCGUAGUCAGGUGUGAAAGCCUUGAGCUCAACUCAAGAAAUGCACUUGAUACUGGGUGACUAGAGGACCGGAGAGGAUAGUGGAAUUCCCAGUGUAGUGGUGAAAUACGUAGAGAUUGGGAAGAACACCGGUGGCGAAGGCGGCUAUCUGGACGGUUACUGACGCUAAGACUCGAAAGCGUGGGGAGCAAACAGGAUUAGAUACCCUGGUAGUCCACGCCGUAAACGAUGGGUGCUAGACGUUGGCGAGCUUGCUCGUCAGUGUCGCAGCUAACGCGUUAAGCACCCCGCCUGGGGAGUACGGCC